rnacentral:rRNA from 1 species
AUGAACGCUAGCGACAGGCCUAACACAUGCAAGUCGAGGGGCAGCGCAAGGAGCAAUCUGAGGUGGCGACCGGCGCACGGGUGAGUAACACGUAUGCAACCUGCCUGUAAGCGGGGAAUAACCCGUUGAAAGACGGACUAAUACCGCAUAAUACUAAAUUACUGCAUGGUAAUUUAUUUAAACAUUUAUGGCUUACAGAUGGGCAUGCGCAUGAUUAGCUAGUUGGAGAGGUAACGGCUCCCCAAGGCAACGAUCAUUAGGGGUUCUGAGAGGAAGGUCCCCCACACUGGUACUGAGACACGGACCAGACUCCUACGGGAGGCAGCAGUGAGGAAUAUUGGUCAAUGGACGAGAGUCUGAACCAGCCAAGUCGCGUGCAGGAAGAAUGUCCCUAUGGAUUGUAAACUGCUUUUGCAGGGGAAUAAAGUGCAUCACGUGUGAUGUUUUGUAUGUACUCUGCGAAUAAGGAUCGGCUAACUCCGUGCCAGCCGCUGC